ensembl:lncRNA
CCUGAGUUUUAAUGUGCAACAGCUGUGUGUCUACCACAUGAUCUGUUUAGACUAGUAUGAGAGCCUGGGCUUUAGUAUAGCACAUUAUGAAGCACUGCUUUCCUUGAGAAACUACUGAGUGUUGUUCCUGUUCUGAUUUGUGUUAUGUUCUGACUUCCUGACUGUUUUGCUUUUGAAGCUGAUUUUUGGAUUUCCCUUUUUUGUACUUUUGCCUGCUGUUUUGGUUCUCUGGUUUUUGAUUCCUUGCUUGAUUUGUGGACUUUGCCUGUCUUUCCCCUGAUGGUUAUGAUCACCUGUGUCUUUCUGCUGUACUUACUGGAUCUGACCCAUGCCUGUACCUUGACUACUCUUUGCUGCCACAAUUACCUAAGUAAAGCUUCACUUUUGAUCUUAAGCUGUGGGCAUCAGCUUCCUGGUCCAACAUCACAGAAUACUUUGCUAAUAAUGCAGACAGUGGAACCAAAAACUCUUCAAAAGGCCCUGAUUGAGCGAGGACAACUACUCUGUAGACACCAGAGUUACCCACUCACUGGAAUCACUGGCUCACCAACAAGUGGAACAACACCCUUUUAGAUUCCGGAGCCAAAGGAAGCUUCAUCCGUGCCAGGAUAGUGGAACAACUACAGAUCCCCAUUGAAAGUCUACAACACAUCCUGAAGGUCGCUUCCCUAGACAGUGGACCAGUGGGAGCAGGGACUAUUUUCAAGAUCACCAAACCCAUAACUGUACAGACUAGUGCAAUACAUAAAGAAACUUGGUCUUUUCUAGUAUUUAAAUUCAGAAUUCGAAUUCCUAUUAGGACUGCCUUGGUUAGAAAAACAUAAUCCCCAGAUCUCCUGUUGCGAACACACAAUAAUUAAGUGGUCCGUCUCCUGUUUCCGUUCUUGCAUAACCCCUCCUGAAUUGUAUGUUAUAUCAACGCCUGUAGAAAGUCCUCAAGAUCACGUCAGAAUCCCACCUGAGUAUGCUGAUCUGAGUGAGGUUUUCAAGAAGGAGAACGCCACAAAGUUACCAACGCAUAGAACGUCUGACUGUGCCACUGAUUUAAUAGAAAAUCCCACAUUUCCCAAAGCCUGAGUAUACCCCUUCACCCAAGAGGAACAAAAGACCUUAGAUUUAUAUAUCCAGAAAGCUCUUGCUCAAGGUUUCAUUAGACCACUUAAUUCUCCCAUUUCCUCCAGUUUCUUCUUCAUAAAAAAAAAGACGGAGGACUAAGGCCAUGUAUCGACUAUCAUACUCUGAACCAAAUUACUAUACCCUAUCCAUAUCCUAUCCCCUUGGUUCCGGUACUUUUAGAACAACUUAAAGGGGCUGAUGUUUUCACCAAGCUAGAUCUCUGAAGUAUGUAUAACCUAAUCAGAGUCAGAGAAGGAGAUGAAUGGAAAACUGCGUUCAUGAACACUAGGGGGCACUGAGUACCUCAUGAUGCCCUUUGGCUCUCUAUAGUGCCCUGUCUUCCAGUCAUAUUAAUGAGGUACUCAGGGACAUGUUGGGACAGUUUGUUAUGGCUUAUUUGGACAACAUAUUAAUUUACUCUCCAGAUAUGGAGACUCAUGUACAGCAGGUUUGUACUGUUUUGAAGUGUUUACUGAAGAAUAGUUUGUUAAAGGUAUAAAGUGUGAAUUCCAUCUGAAUUCUGUAGAUUUUUUGGGGUAUGUCAUUAGUGAGGAGGGAGUGCUCAUGGAUGGACAUAAAGUUGAUGCGGAAGUAAACUGGCCUAUUCCCACUUCCUUCAAGGAGUUGCAGAG